CUAUGUUUCACGUUUACCUCCACCGUUGUUUUACUGUUGGAUAGCAGGUGUCGUUGCCCUGAUUGGUUCCGGGGAAAAUAUCUCUCUCGCCUGCCUCCCAUCCGUUCCUCUCUGGCUCUCUCCCCUUCCUCUCCCUCGUUCCCUCCGCAGGCAGCAACAGCGCGGGCGAGCCCGGUGGCCGGCCCCCUCCCUUCCCCCACCUCUCGCACGGGCGGCCCCUGCGGCACGGCGUGGCGUGGCCGGCGCACUCGGCCUGGCGCGGUCGGCCACCGUCGGCGACCGUGACCGCCCCUUCAGCGCGCGAGUUCCUACAGCCAGAUGGCGUGGCUCUGCUCUUCCUCGAUCCGUCCACUUGCUGUGAGAAAGGGUGCUUUUGGCAUGACUUCACGCCCGCAUGCUUCUUGGCCGGGGCAGCAAAUCGUGGCUUCACGUCCACACGUGAGAAGGGUUCCCGCUCCUAAUGCGUAAAAGUGCUUUUGCUAUGGCUCAAGGUGCCGAAUCUGUUGGUGGAACCAGAGACAGAUCACCACCAAACAGGCUGUCCUGGUUUCUGCUCUAUCACUACGACUCUAAGAUGUCUACCUGCAAGAAAGACGCAACACAGAGAAGACCAAUGUAUAAGCAUCAAUAGCACAACAGCGAAGGUUCUACUCAUAAAAUCAUUGCGUCGACUGGCGCUGCAAGGUGCGCGGUUGCUUCUUGGGCCGGCGCUGCGGGUGUGGAGUACUACUUUUUGUAAUCAAGUGACAGAAUAACAACGAUAAACUCAAGAGAAUGUACCUUUCAUUUUUGAUGGACCAUGGAGCCAGAGCUCCCCACAAGAGCCUGGAGGCAGGCAGCAACCAGUUUCCACAUGAACAAUUCUUGCAUGCAUGUUUGGAGCCAGGAGUCCUACUGAAGCAUACUUCUUCUGCUUUGUAUUGAAGCCACGAGUUCCUACAGCAGCAGAUUCAGUCAUGCCAUAACCCUGUGAACACAUUACAUUGCAUGAGAGUGAGUAUUUUUUUCUGUAUGAGGUUUCUCUAUUUUCUAAUAAAGCAAGCAGUCUUUAUAAAUCAUUUAAUAAAGUUCUGCGGAAAGAGCAAAGUUGCUGCUAUGACUCAGCCGCAUCACAAGAUGUACAGCCAAGGGACUCCUAGGACAGCAAACCAUUAAUCCAACAGUUUUGUAUAUUAUACAGAAAAAUAAGAUACAAAUUCCAACCUGCCAUUUCAGUUCUUCAAACAUAAGCACCAUUGAAAGAUAGCGACUUUUCCUUACCCGCCCCGGAUACCCGCCGUCGCUGGGAGGUUGUCGCAGGGCAGGGUGAUGGAGUCUGAGCAAGGGGCGCCGCCGUCAGCCGGGAGGUUGUCGCAGGGCAGGGUGAUGGAGUCCAAGCGAGGAACGGCGAUGCGAAAGCCACCCGGCGAGGAAGUUUUGUUGUUCGCAGGAAAUUUCGCGGGCACCAAGCGACGCGACGAAGCGACGGAGGUCGGCAUUGGCGCGGUCCGGAGUGGAGAGCUGCUGGUUGCGAAGGUUUGGGAGCGGAGAAGAGGAAGCGAGCAGGGAGUGGGGCUGUUCCUUCCGCUAGGAUAAAAAACCAGGCGCAGACCACACAGCACACGAUGGACUCUUUUGCGUACCAAGCGACGCGACGAAGCGCAGUGUCGAGGAAGAGGACGCGGGUAUCCGGGGCGGGUAAGGAAAAGUCACGGUGUGAAAAAUUUCGGAGCGAAGUAGAUCGAUUGCCCACAAACACGCGUUUCUGGAGUAAGGAUAAGGAAACAUCGUGGGCUUAACCGAAUGCAUAUCUAAUCAGAUGCGUUAAAAUCAGAGAUUGUCAUGCCAUUGCCUGUGAUGAAUUUCUUCCUUUGCCUAUUCAUUAUCUGUGAACAUUGCCUGUGAUGCCAAAUUAUAUACUGUCAUUCCUGAGCAGAUGCCCUAUUCCCAAUGAUUACAUUGCCAAACACUUUGGCUGUCUGCAGUCACUUUUGUCUCAUGUUUCUUUAAGUUAUCGUGCUUUUUUGUGCUCUACGCUUUUAUCAGGUCAUGGUCGAGUGUUAGUUCUCUGCAUUGAGGGAGAGAUCAUGCUAAUUAAAGGAAAAAUUUCAAAGCAACUACUAUCCUACCGAGUGAAGCUGCAGCUGUCAUCCUGAAAAGUCAUGGUCGAGUCUUAAUUCUCUGCAUUGAGGGAGACAGCAUGCUAAUUUAAGAAAAAAAAAUUCAAAGCAACUACUAUCCUAACGAGAAGCUGCAGUUGUCAUCCGCAAAAGCAUGCCAAUUUCAGCGCACUCACAUACAGCAUGCACAAUCCUCCCUUGUGAUAACCAAGCAGUUAAUUUCAUUGCCUGUGGUUUCCUCUUGAGGUUAUGCUGAACAGUUAAAUAUGAUUCAGUGCUGACAAUUCCUAGCUAUCUAUUGAGGAUAUGGGCAUUGGAAAUUUUGCAAAUUACUGAAUGCUAUGCUCAACAACAAAACAUGAUUUAGUGUUGGCACUUUCUGGUUAUAUCUUGAGCCUAUGGUCAGUACAAAUUUUGUGAAUUACUAAAUGUAAGUGCUGCUCAAGACCACAUAAAUGUCAACUAAUGCUUAUCUAAUCCACCGAUUACUUUUGUCUUUGAGAAUUUAAUUUGUUGCCACCAAUCCAAGUGUGCUUUGCAUAGUCACCGUAACCAUCUGUACUGAGUGAAAAAAGGCCAGCCUCUCUAAACAGACAUGUGUUUGUAUUUUUUCUACUAUUGUAUAAUCGACCACUUAUGAAUUAGAGAAUGUAUGCCUAGGUCCACGGGGGUCCCAUGUUCAAAUUCCGAUUUACAGAUUAUUUAGGCCAAUAUGUUUCAUAGCACAGUGUCUGUUGUUGGCUCAAAGUAGGUGGAGGCUCAAAAAAGAGCUUUUCUACUUUGCAAAGCUCGCAUGAGUUCACAUUUUCCCAUUGUCCUAGUAAUUGAUUCUUUUCAUCUUUAGCCUUACUCUGUCAUAUGAAGAAAUAAUUAUUGCAAUAGUUCAUACUUCAGUGACAUAAACAUAUACUCUUGCACAAGCUUAAAUUAUAUCCACAUGAAAAUAGUAAAACAUGAGUCCAAUCCAACCAAAAGAUUUCUUAAAAAACAAAUAUGUGUAUAGGUUUUAGAAAUUUCAAUGGAACCUGCCCAUGGUUGAUCAAGGUAAAAACUUUUGGCAGUGGCUAGGGUACUAAGGUAAUAAACAUGCUAAUUAGGAAAAAAACAGGGGCAAGAACAUAAGACCAACCUAAGCUUUCUGGAUUCAAAUCCAAGCUUUCAACAUAUUGCACAUGGGCAUUUCUUAUCAACAUCUAGAGCCAAUUGCAAGAAAUACAAGUUUCUUAUCUGCUAUCAUUCAACAUGCUAAGGUUUUCAUUUUGCUAAUGCUAUUGCAAGUUCAGCUACAUCCCAAAAUACCUGACCCAUGAUGUCAGAUCAGCUAAAGUGCUUCUAUUUUGCUAGUCAGCAGGAAAUCCCAAUAUAUAGUAUAUCUGACUGCUUACUGUUUUCAUAUUUGAAUAUGACAACUCCAACCAUCUGAAUAAAAGAAACUAUUUAUGGCUCAGGAGAGGAAAUUUUCUGGAUUUUUUUUAAAAAAAUCGUAGACAUCACAUGGUCAUGUAGGCAACAGAGAACUCUGUGCAUCAACUAAAAAUAACACAGUAUGCAAGAUAUCUUUUUUUCCUAGUCAAGAAUCAUACCUGACCAACCCAUUGUAUUGUACAGGUGCAAGCAUGUCAAAUUCUCGGCUUAUAAUUAUAACAUGAGUUCUCUAGCUAACUGUUGUUCUUUUUGUCUGUUAAUCAUUUUUUUCAAAACCAUGCCAGCUGGUGAAGACAACUUCUAUAAUGUUCUUUGCUGAUCUAUAAACAACUUAACUCACUGUACAGCUUCCAACUGAUCUGUAAACUGAAUGAAAAAUCAUUUAAUUGUCUACAGUUCAGUUCCCAAAUCACCACAGUUUCUUUCAAGUUCUGACAAGCAUUCUUUUUUUGUUCAUCUAUGUGCUGAAAACAUUUCCAUGCUACCCUAGGUGGGUCCUUAUGAUAAGUAUUACUUCCUGACCACAAUAACCUCAUGGAAGUACUUACAGGUUACAGCUCAGACACCAAAAAAGGAAGGCUCUUCUAGCAUCAUAUGUUUGACUAUGUACUUUUAUAUUUUUAUACAGAUGUUAAAAGAUUUUAAACACAGAUAAGAUUUUCAUGGUGUAAAACCUCCAUUGUACUGAUGAUACCUUGUCUAGCUAUAGUAGGUACCACUCAUUAGUUGUUAAACAUUAUACCAAUGUUAUUUAUCAUCCUGUAAUAAAUGUGUGCGUCGCUAAUCGAACUCGAAUUCCAUUCUUUCA